GCCGGGUGUGGUGUUGCGUACCUGUAAUCCCAGCUACUCAGGAGGCUGAGGCAGGAGAAUCACUUGAACCCAGGAGUCAGAGGUUGCAGUGAGCCGAGAUCACGCCACUGCACUCCAGCCUGGAUGACAGAAUGAGACCCUGUCUCAA
ensembl:misc_RNA Metazoa_SRP Metazoan signal recognition particle RNA